rnacentral:tRNA from 1 species
AAGAAAAUGCCUGAUUAGAGGAGUGAUUUGAUAGAAUAAAUUAAGUAUUAAUUACUCUUAUUG